CAGCAGCCGCGGUAAAACGGAGGGUGCAAGCGUUAAUCGGAAUUACUGGGCGUAAAGCGCACGCAGGCGGUCUGACAAGUCAGAUGUGAAAUCCCCGGGCUUAACCUGGGAACUGCAUUUGAAACUGUCAGGCUGGAGUCUUGUAGAGGGGGGUAGAAUUCCAGGUGUAGCGGUGAAAUGCGUAGAGAUCUGGAGGAAUACCGGUGGCGAAGGCGGCCCCCUGGACAAAGACUGACGCUCAGGUGCGAAAGCGUGGGGAGCAAACAGGAUUAGAUACCCGAGUAGUCCCUGUCUCUUAUAC
rnacentral:rRNA from 1 species